CAGAGCUUCCGGCACAUCGCGUUUGUUGUUUAUAUCAUACGCAUGCGCACACGUCUCACAAGAUUUUCCUUAUAUCAAUAACCUCGCAUGUGAUUGGAGGAGCCCGACAGGCUUCUCGCCUUCGUCCAAUCAUGUGCGAGGUCAUGGUCACGGCUCACACAGCAGUGUCGACAAGCGUAACAGACGUUUGGUUUGGUGUUUGUAACUCUCCAAGAAGAGCAGACGGGUGCACAAUCCCAAGAUUGCGGAGGCAGUACGGCGUCUCUGAGGCACACUGCAGGCGCUAUGAACCAGAGCAAAGACUAACGUCGCCUCAUAACAAAGCCGUGACCUCCGAUUUGCUUGGGGCUAUUG